rnacentral:lncRNA from 1 species
CGUCCCGGCGGUCGCGAGGAGGUCCCCCGGGCGCGAAGAAGACGCCAGCCCACCCCAGCCGCCGGGGAGAUCGCCCAGGCCGCGCUCAGCCCCGCCCCUGGCUCUGCCCCCGCCGCGGAGCGGAACCCUCCAAGUCGCGGCCUGAGGAGGAAGGAAAAGGGGGCGGCCCGGGAGAGCCGCUGCGAAAUCAGCAACGGGCGGGAACCAGGUUGCCUCCCUGAGUCCCUUCUCUCCCCGGCCGGCUGCCAACCACAGCCAAGGCCAGAGAAACAGGCCCUUCUGCCGCGGCCACCUGGGCGCCUUGGACCCGCCCUCCGGACUCGCCCCCGCCCCUGCCGCGGAGUGGAACGUUUGGAACCCUGAGGGGCACAGCUCCUCUAGCAAUUCCGAUGUGAAAAGAAGAUGGAUGGAGAAGCACUGAUUCAGCCAUGGCUGACAUGUCGGAGUUGGAAUGGACAGUGCCCGGACCUCACAGUCUCAGAGAACUGGAGAAGAGUAAAGCUGAAGAGGGCAUCAUCUGGUUACAAAUGACAAGUCCAGGGCUCCAGAACUCAGGCCAUGUAGAGAGGCCACAUGGGAACUGAGGUUCCUAGUCCUCAGCUUCCACUGAGCUCCCAGCCAACAGCCAGCAAUAACUUGCCAGAUGUGUGCACAGGCCAUCCUGGAAGCAGAGGAUCCAGCCCUCAGCCAAGAUGCCCCAGUUGAUUCCAUGUGAACUAGGAAUGAGCCCUCCUGCUGAGCUCUGCCCAAAUUACAGAUCUGUGAGCAAACUAAAUGACAGUUGUAUUAAGCUACACAGAAAUAGAUAACUGGAAUACCA